rnacentral:tRNA from 1 species
GAGCCUGUAGCGCAGCCUGGAACAGCGCGAGAGCCUCCUAAGCUCUAGGUCCGGGGUUCAAACGCAGAUUUUUGCU